rnacentral:sRNA from 1 species
UCCCAGGGAGGCGUCCCUGUCUAUAGGCUC